CCUCCCUUCGAGUUGUUGUAUGGGAGGAGGUGUCGGAAUCCCAUCUGUUGGGGAGAGGUAGGGCAGCUAGUGAUGGGCAGCACAGAGUUAGUGCUUCACUUGGCCUUUCCGGUAACCUUCGGUCCGACAACCUCAGGUCCGGAAACCUCAAGUUCACCUCCACUUAACUCUCUCGUAUCCCCUUCACCUAUCAAUAUACCCUGGAACAACUCCAUAUACAUCAAAGUAAUCCAUACAUCCUUUUGUAUUGUUGUUUGAAAAACGCUAAUCCACUGCUUCCCUCUCUAUCAACCAUUCUAAUAUGUUGGUAAGGUGUAUGCGUCAAAUCUGAAUCUAUUGAUGUAUCUUCAAACUUCACGCUCCUACCUAGAAGACAUCUCCGAUAUCCUUAUCCCAAGUUUCAACCAGGGUUUUCAUCCUCAUUGUGGUGGUUGAUUGGCAAAAACUCACCAGUUCCUUAGACGAUGAACAGGUUGAUUGACGUUUGGGAAUAUUGCUAGUAUAUUUAAAGUCAUGUCGAUUGCAAUUAGUGCUCUUGAAGAAGGGGAAGUUGACACGGCUUAUAUGACCAAACAUGCUAAACUUGCCAGUUGCCACCUAGAAAUUGAUUUGGUUCAGCUUGAAGUGCCGAUCCUUUUAAGAACAGAAAAAGAUAGCAAGGGUACUCAAGUAAUUUACUUGCUUUAUUAACAUAAUAUAUAUUUUUAUUGGCAGUUUUGUUUAAUACUAUGAAGUUUUGUUCUUGUACGGGUUCUCAGGGACACAGAAGGCAAUUGUUCUUAGUUAGAAUUGUGAAAUCUUUUGAUCCCCAAACAACCCUUUUGUUGAUUAUGGAGUUACAGUAAUAGUUCCUCUUCCUCUGGUAUUGGUAAAGCUGGUGUUCCCCCUUGUUAAUGGAUAGCAAUCUCUUGAGUCAGUGUGUUUAAAUAUUAUGCAGGAGGAGAUUGCUAUUAAGAAAUUUAGGGACUGAGAGAAGGAAAGGCAGGACUGUAAGUUUUAAUCAGACAACAGGUUUAUUGGUUGAUGUAGAAUUUUGUGACCUUAUUCAUUUCAUAUAUUAAAUACUUCAACCACUCCCCAUAUGAUUGACUUAUACUCUUUAUAAGUCUUACAGGGAUAUUCUCAUCUCAUCAUGUAAGGCCUUUAUUAACAGUUCAUACCAAUCAUAAAAUAUGUACAAGCUUACUUUGCAUCUCAUAAUACAUCAUAUGAGUUAAACUCAAAUUUCAUUCUUAAUUCAAGAAAUUAGCUAUGAUUUAGUACUCAAUAAUCUUGAAAUCACGUUAUUAUAGCUUCUAUUCAUCGCUAUACACCAUAAAUUCGAUACAUGUACACUCUAAGUUUGUGUUAACAAGAGUCAAGAGUUUGAGUAUCCUCAAACUGAUUCAGUUAGAAGUCAACUUUUGGCCUCUUGAAUGCCAAGAUUACCUUUGUAAUCUUUGAGUUUGUUUUGUAUCAGUUCAAUUUCCAUUUACUGGUGUAUUAUAGCAAAUGGUUGUAGCUUCAUGAGUUGAAGAAAUCAAAGGUAGCAUUGGAGCUGUUUCAAAUAAAAUAGGUGCUUUUGAAGUAGAAUUUGGAUCAUUAAUGGAAUGAUUGUUAAGAAGAAUGAAGCUAUGACAUCAAGGGCUCAAGCACACCUUAAGGUUCAAAUUUAGGGGGAAGAUGUUGUUCAACUCCAGCUGGAAAGAUCAAAACUAAGCAGUAUUUGCUAGAAUUGAUACAUCAAAAGUCAGAUUGCAUCAAGUAAUUUUGAAGGUCUUGUGCAGAUUUGUGAGAGAACGCAAGACGUGUUUGGUCUGCUGACUUCUCAGUUGACCCCACAUUGCUCGCGAGUGGGAGUGAUGAUGGUUCUGUUAAGCUUUGUAACAUUAAUCAAGGAGGGAGUAUUGGUACGCUUUAAACGAAGGCGAAUGUGUGUUGUGUUAAGUUUCCAUGUGAUUCUAGUAAUUUUGUUGCAUUUGGGUCAGCAUAUCACAUCUUACCAGAUUUAGCCCUCAGAGGAGAAGAACACUCAUUCAUUAUAAAACCUGCAACUUCAUUAUGGAGGAACAGUAAAAGUCAAAGUGAAAGGCAGGGGCGAGUCCAAUUAACUUUAAGCACAGCUACACCAAAUGAUAAGCAUUGGAUUUCUUUCUAAAUUUGAACUUGGAGAAUCGAGUCACUAGUAUUUCUUUUUGAAUCAGUAGUUUGAUAAUCAAGAGUCAGAGACACAAUUGGUUUAUGAAUAUGCAUUUGUGGGUAGUGAGGCGAAUAAUUAGGAUGAAUGAAUGGAGAAUCAAGCAUUUAAAGGGAUGAAACCGGUUGUACAUGUUUUGUUUUUCUAUAAUAAAUAUUAUGCAAUACUAGCAAUGUAUUUGAUUUACUUACUAUUAGAAUACUUGUUUUUGACAUAUUAAUGCAAUGAAUUAUCUUUAUUUUUUUA